AUUGAACGCUGGCGGCAGGCCUAACACAUGCAAGUCGAACGAGUGGCGGACGGGUGAGUAAUGUGUGGGACACUGCCCGAUGGAGGGGGAUAACUACUGGAAACGGUAGCUAAUCCCGCAUACCAUCGGAUGUGCCCAGGUGGGAUUAGCGAGUAGGUGGGGUAACGGCUCACCUAGGCGACGAUCCCUAGCUCGUCUGAGAGGAUGACCAGCCACACUGGAACUGAGACACGGUCCAGACUCCUACGGGAGGCAGCAGUGGGGAAUAUUGCACAAUGGGCGCAAGCCUGAUGCAGCCAUGCCGCGUGUAUGAAGAAGGCCUUCGGGUUGUAAAGUACUUUCAGCGAGGAGGCGUUACCCGCAGAAGAAGCACCGGCUAACUCCGUGCCAGCAGCCGCGGUAAUUC
rnacentral:rRNA from 1 species